GACGAACGCUGGCGGCGUGCUUAACACAUGCAAGUCGAACGGGCCCGCUCUCUUUUUUGGGGGGGGGUUGAGUGGCGAACGGGUGAGUAUCACGUGAGUAACCUGCCCCCUGCUCCUGGAUAACUGCUUGAAAGGGCGGCUAAUACGGGGUGUGCCGGCUGGUCCGCAUGGGCCUGGUCGGGAUAGUUUCAUCUUCGGGUGUUUCGGUGGGGGAUGGGCUCGCGGCCUAUCAGCUUGUUGGUGGGGUGGUGGCCCACCAAGGCGUGGACGGGGCGCCGGCCUGAGAGGGUGGGCGGCCACACGGGGACUGAGACACGGCCGAGACUCCUGCGGGAGGCAGCAGUGGGGGGUAGUGCACAAUGGGCGGAAGCCUGAUGCAGCGACGUCGCGUGAGGGAUGGAGGCCUUCGGGUUGUGAACCUCUUUCUCCGGUGGUGAAGGCCCUGUCCGUUGCGGCGGGGUUGACGGUAGCCGGGUAUGAAGCGCCGGCUAACUACGUG
rnacentral:rRNA from 1 species